CAGUCGCCGCGGGAAUACGGAGGGUGCAAGCGUUAAUCGGAAUUACUGGGCGUAAAGCGCACGCAGGCGGUCUGACAAGUCAGAUGUGAAAUCCCCGGGCUUAACCUGGGAACUGCAUUUGAAACUGUCAGGCUGGAGUCUUGUAGAGGGGGGUGGAAUUCCAGGUGUAGCGGUGAAAUGCGUAGAGAUCUGGAGGAAUACCGGUGGCGAAGGCGGCCCCCUGGACAAAGACUGACGCUCAGGUGCGAAAGCGUGGGGAGCAAACAGGAUUAGAUACCCCGGUAGUCCCUGUCUCUUAUAU
rnacentral:rRNA from 1 species